rnacentral:lncRNA from 1 species
UAUAAUUAAUAAUAAUAAGGUUAUAAUUGUCCAAACAAAAUAUACAAAUUCGUGUUUAAUUAAAUAAAUUUUAGUUGAGAAAGUUUGUGAAAUUUUUAUAAUCAAUUUAGGUUUUUGUGUAAAUCUUAAAAAAGAAAAAAGAGUGAAUUAGGAAAAGUUAAUUUGGGCCAGUUACAUGAGGCAGAGAUCAGGACCCCAAGGCGUUGGCCCUAAAGGGCUGAAGCAGGAGAGUUGUAGCCCCAACUCCCUUCUUCCGCUCCGUCUUUUCCUCCCUUCCUUCAUUGCCCUGUUUCAUGUGAUUCUUCCAUCCUCACAUCACGAUUGCUAUUCCUCAAUUCCAAAUUUCUGGUCUGGGACGAC